rnacentral:rRNA from 1 species
AUCCAUGGACUGACCCCAUCAUCUCCAUCCUGUAGGAACUACGAGAUCAACCCAAGGACGCCUUUAACAUCAAGGGGUCGUGGAUCGAUGAUAGAACCCUAUUCAAUAAAUGGAACGCAUUAGCUGUCCAUUUUUAGGUUGGGCAGUAAGGGAGAAGGGCAAUCACUCAUUCUUAAAACCAGCAUUCUUAAGACCAAAGAGUCGGGUGGAAAAGGGGGGAAAGCUCUCUGUUCUUGGUUCUCAUGUAGCUAGAUCCUCCAGAACCACAAGAAUCCUUAGUUAGAAUGGGAUUCCAACUUAGCACCUUUUGAGAUUUUGAGAAGAGUUGCUUUUUGGAGAGCACAGUACAAUUAAAGUUGUAAGCUGUGUUCGGGGGGAAGUUAUUGUCUAUCGUUGGCCUUUAUGGUAGAAUCAGUCGGGGGCUUGAGAGGCGAUUGUUUACCCUGUGGCGGAUGUCAGCGGUUCGAUCUAUGCUAUGAUUUAUCAUUCAUGGACAUUGAUAAGAUCUUCCCACUUAGCAGCACCUUAGUGAAAUAGAACAUGAAACUGUAAGCUCCCAAGCAUUGUGAGGAUACCAGGGCUCUAACCGCGUGCCUGCUGAAGAUUGAGCUGGCAACUUAUAGGCAGUGACUUGGUCAAGGGAACCCACCAGAGCUGUAGCGAAAAUGAGUCUUCAUAGGGUAAUUGUCAUUGCUUACGGACCCGAACCUGGGUGAUCUAUCCAUGACCAAGAUGAAACUUGGGUGACACUAAGUGGAGGUCCGAAUCGAAUGAUGUUGAAGAAUCAGCGAAUGAAUUGUGGUUAGGGGUGAAAUGCCACUCGAACCCAGAGCUAGCUGGUUCUCCCUGCAGCUAACUGGACAUCUAGGGGUAAAGUACUGUUUCAGUGCAGGCUGCAAGAGCGGUACCAAAUCGAGGCAAAAUCUGAAUACUAGAUAUGACCUCAAAAUAACAGGGGUCAAGGUCGGCCAGUGAGACGAUGGGGGAUAAGCUUCAUCAUCGAGAGGGAAACAGCCCGGAUCAUCAGCUAAGGCCCCUAAAUGACCACUCAGUGAUAAAGGAGGUAGGGGUGCAGAGACAGCCAGGAGGUUUGCCUAGAAGCAACCACCCUUGAAAUAGUGCGUAAUAGCUCACUGAUCGAGCUCUCUCGUGCCGAAGAUGAAUGGGCCUAAACGAUCUACCGAAGCUGUGGGAUGUAAAAAUGCAUCGGUAGGGGAGCGUUCCUUCUAGAGGGAAGCACCGGACGAGCAGUGGUAAACGAAGCUGAAGCAAGAAUGUAGGCUUGAGUAACACAAAUAUUGGUGAGAAUCCAAUGCCCUGAAAACCUAAGGGUUCCUCUGCCAGGUUUGUCCACAAAGGGUGAGUCAAGGCCUAAGAUCAGGCCGAAAGGCGUAGUCAAUGGACAGCAGGUGAAUAUUCCUGUACUACCCCUUGUUUGUCCCAAGGGAUGAAGGAGGUUAGGUUAGCCGAAAGAUGGUUAUCGGUUUAAAGCAUGCAAGGUGCCCUUGCUUUUUCAGGGUAAGAAGGGGUAGAGAAAAUGCCCCGAGCCAAUGUUCAAGUGCCAGGCGCUACGGUAGUGAAGUAACCCAUGCCAUACUCCCAGGAAAAGCUUGAACGACCUUCAAUAAAAGGGUACCUGUAUCCUAAACCGAUAGAGGUCUGUAGGUAGAGAAUACCUAGGGGCACGAGAGAACUCUCUCUAAGGAACUCUGCAAAAUAGCCCCAUAACUUUUGGAGAAGGGGUGCCUCCUCACAAAGGGGGUCGCAGUGACCAAGCGCGGGCGAUUGUUUACCAAAAACACAGAUCUCUGCAAAGUCGUAAGACCAUGUGUGGGGGCUGACACCUGCCUAGUGUCGGAAGGUCAAGGAAGUUGGUGACCUAAUGAUAGGGGAGCCGACGACCGAAGCCUCGGUGAAGUUCCAACCCGCAUGAAAGGCAUAACGAUCUAGGCACUCUCUCAGAGAGAGGCUCGGUGAAAUAGACAUGUCUGUGAAGAUGCAAACUACCUGCACCUGGACAGAAAGACCCUAUAAAGCUUCACUGUUCCCUGGGAUUGGCUUUGGGCCUUUCCUGCGCAGCUUAGGUGGAGGGUGAAGAAGGCCUCCUUCCGUGGCUGCUCGAGCCAUCAGUGAGAUUCCACUCUAGAAGAGAUAGAAUUCUAACCUUAUGUCAAAACUUACGGGCCAAAGGACAAUCUCAGGUAGACAGUUUCUAUGGGGCAUAGGCCUUCCAAAAUGUAAUAGAGGCAUGCAAAGGUUUCCUCGGGCCAGACAGAGAUUGGCCUUCAAGUACCAAUGUAGACGAGAGCUUGACUGCAAGACCCACCCAUCGAGCAGGGACGAAAAUUGGCCUUAGUGAUCCGAUGGUGCCAAGUGGAAGGGCCGUCACUCAAUGGAUAAAAGUUACUCUAGGGAUAAUAGGCUGAUCUUCCCCAAAAGCUCACAUCGAUGGGAAGGUUUGGCACCUCGAUGUUGGGUCUUCACCACCUGGGGCUGUAGUAUGUUCGAAGGGUUAGGCUGUUCACCCAUUAAAGCAGUACAUGAGCUGGGUUCAGAACGUCAUGAGACAGUUUGGUCCAUAUCUGGUGCAGGCGUUAGAGCAUUGGGAGGACCUUUCCUUAUUACGAGAGGAUCGGAAAGGACACACCUCUAGUGUACCAGUUAUGAUGCUCACGGUAAAUGCUGGGUGGCCAAGUGUGGAGCGGAUAACUACUGAAAGCAUCUAAGUAUUAAGCCCACCCCAAGAUGAGUGCUCUCUUAUUCCGACUUCCCAGAGCUUCCGGUGGCACAGCCAAGGCAGCGAUGGGUUUUCUGCCCUUGCGGGGGUGGAGCGACAGAAGGUUUGAGAAUUCAAGAGAAGGUCACAAUGAGACGAGCCGUUUAUCAUUACGAUAGGUGUCAGGUGGAAGUGCAGUGAUGUAUGCAGUUGAGUCAUCCUAACAGACCGGUAGACUUGAAC